rnacentral:rRNA from 1 species
GACGAACGCUGGCGGCGUGCCUAAUACAUGCCAGUCGAACGCUUCUUUCCUCCCGAGUGCUUGCACUCAAUUGGAAAGAGGAGUGGCGGACGGGUGAGUAACACGUGGGUAACCUACCCAUCAGAGGGGGAUAACACUUGGAAACAGGUGCUAAUACCGCAUAACAGUUUAUGCCGCAUGGCAUAAGAGUGAAAGGCGCUUUCGGGUGUCGCUGAUGGAUUGACCCGCGGUGGAUUAGCUAGUUGGUGAGGUAACGGCUCACCAAGGCCACGAUGCAUAGCCGACCCGAGAGGGUGAUCGGCCACACUGGGACUGAGACGCGGCCCAGACUCCUAGGGGAGGCAGCAGUAGGGAAUCUUCGGAAAUGGACGAAAGUCUGCACGAGCAACGGCGCGUGAGUGAAGAAGGUUUUCGGAUCGUAAAACUCUGUUGUUAGAGAAGAACAAGGACGUUAGUAACUGAACGUCCCCUGACGGUAUCUAACAAGAAAGCCACGGCUAACUACGU